CCUACGUGCGGCAGCAGUGGGGAAUAUUGGACAAUGGGCGAAAGCCUGAUCCAGCCAUGCCGCGUGUGUGAAGAAGGCCUUCGGGUUGUAAAGCACUUUCAGUGGGGAAGAAAGCCUUGGGGCUAAUACCCUCGAGGAAGGACAUCACCCACAGAAGAAGCACCGGCUAACUCCGUGCCAGCAGCCGCGGUAAUACGGAGGGUGCGAGCGUUAAUCGGAAUUACUGGGCGUAAAGCGCGCGUAGGCGGUCUGAUAAGCCGGUUGUGAAAGCCCCGGGCUCAACCUGGGAACGGCAUCCGGAACUGUCAGGCUAGAGUGCAGGAGAGGAAGGUAGAAUUCCCGGUGUAGCGGUGAAAUGCGUAGAGAUCAGGAGGAAUACCAGUGGCGAAGGCGGCCUUCUGGACUGACACUGACGCUGAGGUGCGAAAGCGUGGGUAGCAAACAGGAUUAGAUACCCCUGUAGUC
rnacentral:rRNA from 1 species